rnacentral:lncRNA from 1 species
UAGGGAAAAGCACAAAACCCGAUUUCUUGCCCUGUUUUUUGUUCUUGCGCCAUGAUCCCAACCCAGUGUUGAGUGCCACUGUUAUGCUGGCACGUGGGUGAGGAUGUGCUAUCCGCCUUGCUGAGCGCGCCGUGCCCCACAGGCUAAGCCCCAAGCAUCGUGAGGAUGGCCCCAAGGGCAACAGCGCCCGCUCCAGCCGCAGCCCGUCCUCCUCCUCACCGCGCCGUUCGGCCUCACCGCACCAGAACGGGCACAAGGGCAGCGCCCAGAAUGGCCGCCACAGCCAUGGCCCUGCACUCGAGGAGCCAACGGAUAGGCCGGCCUCGCCGUCCCCUUCUCCACGGCCUCGCGGCAGGACGGAUCCGCCGUCCCCUCGCACCCGGGGUGGCCGUCAUGGCGCCCACUCGCCCUCGCCGGAGCGAGCCAAGCACGGCCACCGGCACCGCUCCCGCUCCGCAUCGCCGCCCCGACACCGCGGUCAGGUCCCCCGCCUGCCGGCCCCAACGGGGCUCAGCCCCACUGGCUACAGCAGCGACUCGGAGGGCUCGGUGUGCUCACACACGCUCAGCCCUGACAGGACCCACGGCGCCCACACUAAGAAGUAAGAGCUCUCUGGGCGCCACCACAUGGGAGGCAUGGGUAUCUGGGGUGUCCUGA